GGUUUUCGGACCUAGAGACCGGCGCACGGGUGCGUAACGCGUAUGCAAUCUACCUUUUACAGAGGGAUAGCCCAGAGAAAUUUGGAUUAAUACCUCAUAGUAUUAUUGAAUGGCAUCAUUUGAUAAUUAAAGUCACAACGGUAAAAGAUGAGCAUGCGUCCCAUUAGCUUGUUGGUAAGGUAACGGCUUACCAAGGCAACGAUGGGUAGGGGUCCUGAGAGGGAGAUCCCCCACACUGGUACUGAGACACGGACCAGACUCCUACGGGAGGCAGCAGUGAGGAAUAUUGGUCAAUGGGCGCAAGCCUGAACCAGCCAUGCCGCGUGCAGGAUGAAGCAUCUAUGGUGUGUAAACUGCUUUUGUACGAGAAGAAACACUCCUUCGUGAAGGAGCUUGACGGUAUCGUAAGAAUAAGGACCGGCUAACUCCGUGCCAGCAGCCGCGGUAAUACGGAGGGUCCAAGCGUUAUCCGGAAUCAUUGGGUUUAAAGGGUCCGUAGGCGGUUUUGUAAGUCAGUGGUGAAAGCCCAUCGCUCAACGGUGGAACGGCCAUUGAUACUGCAAGACUUGAAUUAUUAGGAAGUAACUAGAAUAUGUAGUGUAGCGGUGAAAUGCUUAGAUAUUACAUGGAAUACCAAUUGCGAAGGCAGGUUACUACUAAUUGAUUGACGCUGAUGGACGAAAGCGUGGGGAGCGAACAGGAUUAGAUACCCUGGUAGUCCACGCCGUAAACGAUGGAUACUAGCUGUUCGGAGCAAUCUGAGUGGCUAAGCGAAAGUGA
rnacentral:rRNA from 1 species